UACGGAGGGUGCGAGCGUUAAUCGGAAUUACUGGGCGUAAAGCGCGCGUAGGCGGUUUGAUAAGUCUGAUGUGAAAGCCCUGGGCUUAACCUGGGAACGGCAUUGGAUACUGUCCGACUGGAGUGUGGUAGAGGGGUGUGGAAUUUCCGGUGUAGCAGUGAAAUGCGUAGAGAUCGGAAGGAACACCAGUGGCGAAGGCGGCACCCUGGACCAACACUGACGCUGAGGUGCGAAAGCGUGGGGAGCAAACAGG
rnacentral:rRNA from 1 species